rnacentral:rRNA from 1 species
GAUCCUGGCUCAGGACGAACGCUGGCGGCGUGCUUAACACAUGCAAGUCGAACGAGAAUCUGUGGAAAGAGGAUUCGUCCAAUUGAAACAGAGGACAGUGGCGGACGGGUGAGUAACGCGUGAGGAACCUGCCUUUCAGAGGGGGACAACAGUUGGAAACGAUUGCUAAUACCGCAUGACACAUUGAGGUCGCAUGGCCUUAAUGUCAAAGAUUUAUCGCUGAAAGAUGGCCUCGCG